GCUAUCGUGGCCGAGUGGUCUAAGGCGGUAGAUUUAAGUUUGCUUACUUGAAAACUCUACUGGGGCGACCCGCGUGCGUUCGAACCGCACCGAUAGCA
rnacentral:tRNA from 1 species